ACCGGGUUCCUUUGCCGGUGUUCCGGAGAAUUCAGUUCCCCUGUUCCCACUUCUUUGCUCCUGCGCGAAAUCAUUACGUUUUUUAUUGUUGCUUGGUUGAGCUGAAUGUGAUUUUUAUAAUCGCGUGUUAUUUUAUAGUGGACUCUAUCUACUUUCCAUGAGCAUAAGGUACAAAUAAACUAUUGUACUGUACGAUAAGUAGGUACAUCGGUGUUAUAAUUUUGGGCUGCAAAUCUUUUAUUCAUAAUUUACAGUGAUCAUAAUGUGUAAUACAAGGGGACAGAUUUCCCUGGUGGCCUGGGGAAAGUGCUUCCCGCCCUGUAUAUUACAAUCUGUCCAUUUAUAAAGCAAUACCGUGAUGCUGGUGAUGUAUUUUACAGUGGCCAUUAUGUGGGGAACAGAUUUAUCUGGAGGCCUGAGGAAAGAGGUUCCCCCCUCCUAUGAUAAGUGUCAUCUACACAUCAGUCUUUUACACUGUGGUUUACAGUCUGGCCAUUUAUAAAGCAAUACAGUGAUUCUGGUUAUGUACGUUACUGUGAUCAUUUAUGUAUAACAAGUUUCAUCCAUACAUCAGUCUUCUACACUGAGAACACAGGGGGAACAGAUUUCCCUGGAGGAACAGUGGAACUGAAUUCUCCGGAACACUGGUGUGGAGAAACGGAAGUGAAUAAUGAUCUACCUUCAUAAAUGUGUCAAACAUGAUUUGACUAUCAAUGUCAACUUCACUGUUAAUUCCCAUGAAAGAACAAAAGGUAGUUUUGUUUUCUUCACAACAGUUCUGUCAAACUGGGAGACGGACGACAACGACGACUGAAUAUGAAAGUGGCAUAUACAGCAUGGUAAGAACAUCACAAGCCAGGUGAGUGGGCAUCAAACAAUAAAUAAAUAAAAAGAGUACAUGUUACUAGGCAUGUUAAACAUUUUAUUACACAAGAAGUUCAAAUGUACAGUCCAAGAUGAAUAAGUUGCUUGUCAAUAAACAGAAUCUUAA